rnacentral:snoRNA from 1 species
UUUAGCUGAUGAUAAACUUAAAUUUCAGUUCUGCUUCUGAGAAUACAUGAAGAUACUCAUUUUACCAAAAGCUCAUAUCUGAAAC